CGGGGUGAGUAAUGUCUGGGAAACUGCCUGAUGGAGGGGGGUAACUACUGGAAACGGUAGCUAAUACCGCAUAACGUCGCAAGACCAAAGAGGGGGACCUUCGGGCCUCUUGCCAUCGGAUGUGCCCAGAUGGGAUUAGCUAGUAGGUGAGGUAACGGCUCACCUAGGCGACGAUCCCUAGCUGGUCUGAGAGGAUGACCAGCCACACUGGAACUGAGACACGGUCCAG
rnacentral:rRNA from 1 species